GUUUGUCAGCAGUGCAAGCCACUCUCAAUAACAAAAACAAGGAGAAGGGAACUGAGCGGAUUCCAGUCCCUACCUAGUUUUCCGUGAAGAAUUGAGGACAGACGUGUGACGACAGAAGUGAAGAGACAAACUUCCAGCCCUGGAACCAAUUAGAGCAGGAGGAGUCUCUCCACCAGUCCACCAGAGGCGCCUUCGGUGUGAAGACAGAGGUGCUGCUACUGUCGUUCCUCUGAU